rnacentral:rRNA from 1 species
AUUGAACGCUGGCGGCAUGCCUAAUACAUGCAAGUCGAACGCGUGGCGGACGGGUGAGUAAUGUCUGGGAAACUGCCUUAUGGCUGGGGUUACCUCCUGGAAACGGUAGCUAAUACCGCAUACCAUCAGAUGUGCCCAGAUGGGAUUAUCUAGUGGGUGGGGUAACGGCUCACCAAGGCCACGAUCCCUAGCUGGUCUGAGAGGAUGACCGGCCACACUGGAACUGAGACACGGUCCAGACUCCUACGGGAGGCAGCAGUAGGGAAUAUUGCACAAUGGGCGAAAGCCUGAUGCAGCCAGGCCGCGUGUAUGAAGAAGGCCUUCGGGUUGUAAAGUACUUUCAGCGGGGAGGCGUUACCCAAAGAAGAAGCACCGGCUAACUCCGUGCCAGCAGCCGCGGUAAUAC